rnacentral:miRNA from 10 species
GAACUGCUUCAGCAUCCUUAAUAAGACAUAGCUUAUUGUGCCUUGUGUUAUCUGUUCCAUGUCUAUGGGCUCUUGAGUUGGCCUCCUGGGUGAGGGCCUGCUUUUUC